rnacentral:rRNA from 1 species
GAUGAACGCUGGCGGCGUGCCUAAUACAUGCAAGUCGAGCGAACAGACGAGGAGCUUGCUCCUCUGACGUUAGCGGCGGACGGGUGAGUAACACGUGGAUAACCUACCUAUAAGACUGGGAUAACUUCGGGAAACCGGAGCUAAUACCGGAUAAUAUAUUGAACCGCAUGGUUCAAUAGUGAAAGACGGUUUUGCUGUCACUUAUAGAUGGAUCCGCGCCGCAUUAGCUAGUUGGUAAGGUAACGGCCUACCAAGGCAACGAUGCGUAGCCGACCUGAGAGGGGGAUCGGCCACACUGGAACUGAGACACGGUCCAGACUCCUACGGGAGGCAGCAGUAGGGAAUCUUCCGCAAUGGGCGAAAGCCUGACGGAGCAACGCCGCGUGAGUGAUGAAGGUCUUCGGAUCGUAAAACUCUGUUAUUAGGGAAGAACAAAUGUGUAAGUAACUAUGCACGUCUUGACGGUACCUAAUCAGAAAGCCACGGCUAACUACGUG